AUGACGCAAAAUAGGGCUGAGUGGACAACAAGGUAUGAGAAAGGUCUCGUGGAGGUACUUACAGAGUACAAUCUAAAUCAUUACCGUGGCCAAAAUGGGUGGACUACCGAAGGAUGGAAUCAAGUUGUCAAGGAACUGAACAAUUUAUAUCCAGAGGCAAGGUUUACCAAGGAUCAGGUUCAAGAUAAGGAAGCUCAGUUGAAAAAGCACUAUAAAAAUAUCAAGUUGAUAGUCAACCGCUCUGGAAUAUCAUGGAAUGAUAUUGCAUGUGUGAUCAACACCACGCCUGAAAAAUGGGAAGAGAUCAUUGCAGAGGACCCAAAGCUCAAAAUGUAUGAAGGAAAGAGCUUUCCAUUGUAUGAGGCAUUGGGUGUGCUCUAUGAAGGACACAUUGCGCAAGGAAGACACUGCCUCACAUCAAGGAAGCCUCCGAUUGGCACAAAAACAGGUAGCAACUUUGGAGCGAAGGAUAAGAUGGUUGCAAGCACUAGCAAGAAAAAUACAAGACAUGGAAGAGAUGACAACGUAAGGACUUCUUCAAUAAUUGACAUCAAUGAUACUCCUACAUUAGAUGAUGUGGAUGAAAGAGAGAACACUGUCAAUGACGAGGAAGAAUUAGCCAGUGAAGAUGCUGAUGGCGAUCAACCACAAAUAAGUGAAUCAAGUGCAAAAGGGAAAAAAACUAAGAAACAAAAAGAUGCCACAUCUAUACAGCGGCUUGAAGAUUCCAUGAUGGCUUAUGUGAAUUUCAAGAAAGAUCAAGCUUCCAAGAAGGAAAAAGUGUCACAGCAAGAAAAACAACCCUCAAUUACAGAAUGCUUGCAGGUCUUGAAUGACAUGGAUGAUGUUCCCGACGAGGUCAAAAUCUUUGCCUCUGAUGUUUUCAAGGAUGCAGCAAAUCGUGAGAUUUUCCUAGGUUACAACUCAAGAUUGCGGGGUAUGUGGCUAAAGAAGGAAGUCGACAAGAUUAGUCCUCAGCCUCCUCCUUCUCGGCUUUCAUCUGGUGCUAUUCCUUCAAUCAAUCUGGUGCUCUGA
rnacentral:rRNA from 1 species